rnacentral:tRNA from 1 species
GGGCGCUUAGCUCAGUUGGUAGAGCAUCUCGUUUACACCGAGAGGGUCGUAGGUUCGAGUCCUUCAGCGCCCACCA